UGGGAUGCUCUGGCUCUCAGGAAGGUUGGGUUUGUCUCCAGGACGGGAGCUGUGGAUGCCACCUGUGACCCCGCGGCCGAUGACACACGCGCGGGAUCCGUCCACUCCUCGAAAUUCUGCGUCCACACAAAAGCCCAGCCUGGUCUGGAGAGGCUUCCAAGCAGCUCAGGAUUUUUCAGAGUUUCCAUUAAAGGUUCAAGGGAUCACCCUGAGCAGUUUCAGACCAUAACCAGCCCUGGUCUAAUUCGUUCUUGGAGGUGAAAGGGAAAUCUUUACCCACGUGAACAUCUGCAAAUGAAGAACUGCCUUCACUUUUCAAAGGCACUACAGACCAGAAGAUUUAAAUCAGCUCUGAUCCCUUCUGUUUCUCAAGAACAACAUGCAGCUUUGGGGCUGACCCAACCCGGACAGGCAGUUCUGGACAGGAUUCUGCUAGAUUUCAGGAGAAUGCUGCAAUAGAAAUUCAGGGUUUUGUCCAUUUUGCUGGAUGAAAAGGGAAGGGCUCAAACAGCAUCCUCUGAUCUGAACUGGCUGGGUGUGAACACGUGGGAAAAAGAAAAUGGGAAUUUUUCCACUGCCACAAAAAGCUGGGAUUGAGUUUUUUCCACUUAAAGGCUGUUUUAAUUAGGACUUGAGUGUCAGAAAUAUCUUUAAAAUUAUCCUAAACAAAAAAUAAAACCCUCUUUUAAUCCCAUAGCUACAGCAGGGUGAGUUAGAAGCCAAAUUUAGUGGUAAUUCCUACAUUACUGUGUCUUUAAUUAUCGUGGCCCAGCAUCAUUCCCACACUUAUCAAUCAAAAUUGGAAAUACGACACAAAUUCAUCUGCUACUGUGGCUUUUCCCUUGUAUUUCAGAGUUUAUAUAACACAACUCUCAUAAUACCUUCAAGGAAAAAAAAAAAAAGAAGAAGAAAUAGCAGGCAAGAAAUAGAUGUCUUGGUCUUUCAUCUAAAUUUAAUGAGAAAAAGAGUUGCAAUGAAAUUAGAGAUGUGCUGAACUAUCCAUAGGAGAUUCCAAGCCAUUAUUAGCCUGCUCACCCUGCUACUUAUCUUCAAAUGCACACACCAGCAGCAGAAAGGAUUUAGGUUACAUUUUAGUAAUCCAAAUCUUGUAGGUACUGGGGUUUAGUGAAACUGGAGCACUCGUUACUAUAAUUUUGCUACAAAAAAAAAAUCAGUAUUUAGUGAAGUGAGAGGCCUGGUUUAAUGUACAAAAGCAAGGAGUUUGGGGCUGUGGCAGUGAGGUUGGAGUGUCAGUCUGGAUUGCCAGCCCUAAAGCUGAAUUUCCUCGGGUUUGGGGAUUUGUCAAGUAUUUAAGAGCAUAGAAAUGUAAACUUUCUUCUUGAUGAUAUUCAAACCUCUGUAAAACACCCUUUGAAAAAGGGGAAAAUACAGGAGGAAGAGGCCAAAUCAGCAACGCUGGUGUGGCUGUGGUUAGGAACAAAUCCUGGUCUUGUAUGGCCAGAGAGGGAUUUACGCAUCCAAGGUCCCUCCUAACCAUGGAUGAGGAGGAGCUGGGAUCUCUCAGGAGAAUUUUUGCCUCCCUCUGCCUCAGUUUCCUGGAACUCUUUUUCUGCUGGUAAAGCUUCAAUUUAACUGAAAUGCAAUUUUAACUGGAAAUGAAUAUUAUAUUCAUAAUAUCAUGGCUCUGGGUGUCUGAAUCACAUUGAUCAAAAGUAAUAAGUGUGAUGGAGAAAUUAAUUGGAAAAAAUCAUCAUCAGAGAUACAAAAACUGCAUCUAUUUCUCUAUUAAACUAAAACCUCUAUUUCUCAGUCAUCCACCUCAUUCUCACUACAACCCCUCUGUGAAAGGUGCUGUGGAGGGAGGAAGCAUCGCUGUGUAGAGCAGAUGUGUUCUAAAAAUAACAUUUUGUGGUGCUUGGAAAUGUUGAGGAUUGGGUUUAAAUCUGCAAAAUUCAACAAAUUGUGGACACCAGCACAUUUUAACAGUGACUCUGAGUGCUACUCCUCCUCUGUGUCCCCUUGGCAGUGAGCUGGGAGCUCCCCAGCCACUGAUUAACUCAGGUUAUCACAAUUAGAGGUCUCCCAAUUAAUACAAAUCAGAAUCCAGUGGCCCUGUCAGACUCAGAGCUGCUUUCCUGAUGGCAAAUUCAUGAGUAGCUGCUACCUUUAGCUUUGACACCACUUGUUAGGGAGCAGGAAAACUCUGAUUCCUUCCAGUUCACCAUGAAAGAAUGGAAAGCACCCACGGAUAAUUCUGAAGUGGUCUUAAAAAUGUUGCCUUCCAAAUAUCCCUGCUCAAAUCGAACUGCCCUCAGCUGGGUUUGUCAGCAGGGACUGAUCUGCAGUGGGGCUUUGGAAAACAAAGGCCAAAUAUUUAAAAGAAACUCUCUGGGAAGGUUUGGGAUGGGUUCAGACACGGUGGGAAUGCUCAGAAGCUUUAGAGCUGAGGGCAAGAUUCUCACCAAACUCAUCAGGUCCUGGCUGGUGGAAAUUGCUGUGGUCUUUAAUACUUGUAGCUCUGGAAAGUUCAUUAAAAUUAAAGCUUUGUGUAAUUAAGCAGCUCUUUCAGACAGUUUCUCCCCUGUUCAGCUGGUUUUAAACCCAAGGUUUUGCUUGGAAGCUCUUGGUGAUAUCUGAAUAUUUCUCCUCAUGUCUCUGCCUAUAUUUAUCUGAUUUUCUGGUAAAUCCUUCAGGGCUGAAUCUCCUGAAUCCAUUAUCCAGGCUGCACUCGUGGAAUCCAAUUCAAUAAUUCAAUACUACACCCAAAAAAAAAAAAAAAGGAAAAAUU